GAUGGCAAUUUUAUCCACGGAUCCGGGUAUCCACGGAUAUUCGACCCGCCGGGCACGGGUAUGGAGGGUUGAUUGUGUCCAUGGAUUUCAUGGGGCGGAUAUCCGAUAAUUCAUGGAGCGGGCACGGACAUAGCUUUUGCUCCGUGGAUAUUCGAUGGAUAUCCAACUGACAUGUAGGACCUGUCACUUCAGUAGCAUCGGAGUGUGUCUUUAGUACUAGCGGGAGAUUAAUUAGUGCACAUCGUAGUCGUCUUGCAGAAAAAAUAGCAGAAGCUCUUAUGUGUAUGCAAUCAUGGUCUCAAGCGGUCAUGUUAGGUGAGAUUCAUGGUGAUCUCCUUGCUGUCCAGAAUGU